UAGCUUAAUUGGUAGAGCGUCUGCCUUGUAAGCGCUAGGCCGCGGGUUCGAUUCUCGC
rnacentral:tRNA from 1 species